CUACGGGGGGCAGCAGGCGCGAAACCUUUACAAUGCACGAAAGUGUGAUAAGGGGAUCCCAAGUGCUUACGCUAAGCGUAGGCUUUUGUCAAGAGUAAAUAUCUUGGCGAAUAAGUGGUGGGUAAGACUGGUGCCAGCAGCCGCGGUAACACCAGCGCCACGAGUGGCAUACACAUUUAUUGGGCUUAAAGCGUCCGUAGCCGGUUUUGUAAAUCUUUUGUGAAAUCAUAGGGCUUAACCCUAUGGCGUGCAGAAGACACUACAAAACUUGGAACCGGGAGGAGUCAGAGGUAUUCUGGGGGGAGCGGUAAAAUGUUAUAAUCCCCGGAGGACCACCUGUGGCGAAGGCGUCUGACUAGAACGGAUUCGACGGUGAGGGACGAAGGCCAGGGGAGCGAACCGGAUUAGAUACCCCUGUAGUC
rnacentral:rRNA from 1 species